UUCAUGAGGAUCUGAAAGGUGGAGGGAGCGUUACACAAACCAAAGGGCAUGAACAAAAACUUGUAGUGGCCCUCAUGCGUGCGAAAGGCCAUCUUGGGAAUGUCAGACUC
rfam:Picea glauca, whole genome shotgun sequence.